CCUACGGGCGGCAGCAGUAGGGAAUUUUCGUCAAUGGGCGCAAGCCUGAACGAGCGAUGCCGCGUGAGUGAAGAAGGCCUUCGGGUCUUAAAGCUCUUUUUCUGGGGGAAAAAGGCAGCAUCAGUAAAUGGGUGCUGACUUAUCGUGCCCCGCCAGAAAGUCACGGCCAACUACGUGCCAGCAGCCGCGAUAAUACGUAGGUGGCGAGCUUUAUCCGGAGUGAUUGGGCGGAAAGGUUGCGCAGGCGGUCCUACAAGUCUGGAGUGAAACGCAUGAGCUCAACUCAUGCAUGGCCUUGGAAACUGGAGGACUGGAGAGUAGGAGAGGGAGGUGGAACUCAAGGUGUAGCGGUAAAAUGCGUAGAUA
rnacentral:rRNA from 1 species